rnacentral:rRNA from 1 species
AUUGAACGCUGGCGGAAUGCUUUACACAUGCAAGUCGAGCGGCAGCGCGGGGCAACCUGGCGGCGAGCGGCGAACGGGUGAGUAAUGCAUCGGAACAUGUCCAUGUCGUGGGGGAUAGCCCGGCGAAAGCCGGAUUAAUACCGCAUACGCUCGGGAGAGGAAAGCCGGGGACCGCAAGGCCUGGCGCGAUUGGGUUGGCCGAUGUCCGAUUAGCUAGUUGGUGAGGUAAAGGCUUACCAAGGCGAUGAUCGGUAGCUGGUCUGAGAGGAUGAUCAGCCACACGUGGACUGAGACACGGACCAGACUCCUACGGGAGGCAGCAGUGGGGAAUUUUGGACAAUGGGGGCAACCCUGAUCCAGCCAUUCCGCGUGAGUGAAGAAGGCCUUCGGGUUGUAAAGCUCUUUUGUCCGGAGCGAAACGGGCGCGGCUAAUACCUGCGUCCACUGACGGUACCGGAAGAAUAAGCACCGGCUAACUACGUGCCAGCAGCCGCCGUAA